AACUGAAAUUCAACACAUGUUUUGACGUCAAAAUCCAAAGGAGAUACCAUGACCAGCAUGGCAUCUCACACAAAUGAACAACAAAUGAGCCCAAAACAACAUCAAUCACCCUGAGCUCUUGAACAAUACACAAAAAGCUAGACUAUUUUUAAUCAUUCAAACAUGAGGGCCAUAACUAAAUCAUAGACUAGCAUAGUAGAUUCAUGGCUUGAACAAAAUCUAAAGAAAAUUACAUAGAAAAUGGACUGACUUAACAUAAACAUAGAAUAGGAACUGAAACUUGAAAUUUGAACAGAACUUCAUAUUACAAAACACAUCUUUGAAAGGAAAAACAUGCUUGCAAUCCACUUGUUAUUCAAGGUCCAUGGAGUACCUGGUUACAAGGAGCAAAGAAAAGAUAAGGAAUCCUCAAGAAUAAGAGAGACAACAACAAUCAGUAAAAACCAGCAAGAGGAAACAACAAUGCCCCAGCUUCACACUCAAUCUAUUUUCAACUUAUGAAAACCAAAAAAAUUCCAAAGAAGUUCUCUACACUUUUUUUUUGCUAAAAUCAGAGGAAGAGAGAAUCAACUACUAAUGAAACAGUACCUGAACCUUUAGAGUGUUUUUAGGGUUCUGAAAAUCU
rnacentral:lncRNA from 1 species